GCGAGUCUUCGAGCAAAAACUUUAGCGAAGGAGGGCUUGCUGGGGACCGACGGAGCGGCGGCUCCUCGGGGAGAGGGUAGCUCUCACUCCCUGUCCACCGUGUCCGGCCUACCGGCCGCCGGCUCUCAAACGAGACCCUCCCCUGACCAUCGCCACCACUGCCAACCCCUAAAUUAAAAGUAACAGCCCGCCGCCUGGUCGCCAACUUCUUGCCGUCGCGAGGUUAAGGAUGUCACAGGCUGAGCACCCACUUCCUGCAACAAUAACUUGCUGUUCUUUUUCUUUACUACCUCUCUCUCUCCCUCCCCCCGUGGGGCUGCUGUCAACUCUCUGUCCUCUCCUCCCCUCCCCCCAACAAUCACACACUCCUUUCACCGGCCCCGUCUCCAGGAAGUUUCCGGCUUAACGACAAGUGUACCGCCGACCAACGGAUCGCCUCCCGCUUGGGGUCCUCCGAGCGCAGCGCCGCCCCUCAGGCGAGGAGGUCUCACGACAGUUGUCAGUCUGCUGAGGCGGGAGUCGGAUUUGAUUGUGGUUGCUAACCGACGCACCAGAGAGAAACGCCAGCAGGAAGGAGACGCCUAAAGUUUCCAGUCAGUUACUCCAUCGCAUGAACUGAAUGUGCGACCAUUGCCUGUUUUGCUGCUUCAGCAUGAGAAAUGAAAAUCAAAGUUUAACUUGGCUCCACACUCGACAUCCCAGGGGGACUGGACAGAAUUGGUGCAACAUUCAACUCGCACCUGGAUAGCA